rnacentral:rRNA from 1 species
GAUGACGCUGGCGGCGUGCCUAAUACAUGCAAGUCGAGCGAGCGGCGGACGGGUGAGUAAUGUCUGGGAAACUGCCCGAUGGAGGGGGAUAACUACUGGAAACGGUAGCUAAUACCGCAUACCAUCGGAUGUGCCCAGAUGGGAUUAGCUUGUAGGUGAGGUAACGGCUCACCUAGGCGACGAUCCCUAGCUGGUCUGAGAGGAUGACCAGCCACCCUGGAACAGAGACACGUUCCAGACUCCUACGGGAGACAGCAGUGGGGAAUAUUGCACAAUGGGCGCAAGCCUGAUCCAGCCAUGCCGCGUGUGUGAAGAAGGUCUUCGGAUUGUAAAGCACUUUAAGUUAGGAGGCGUUGCCAACAGAAUAAGCACCGGCUAACUUCGUGCCAGCAGCCGCGGUAAUUC